ACGCCUGUCUACCAGCUGACAAGGCAACACUGGACUGAUCGAUAGGUUCCUGAUUUCAUAUUUUUCAAGGGUUUUGAUAAGUGUAUAGUGUCUGCGUUCCAAGUGCAGCGAUCAAGGGCGGACGGAGAGAGAAGCAGUUUCCGGAUUCUCGAAUGUCUUUACGUGGUAGCUGGUUCGAAUCUUUUUCAGCUCGGACACGCUUUACGUGACGGGAAGGAACUUGUGAUCGUAGGGUAGGAUAGACUGGGCGUGGAAACCGAAGACGACAUCCAUAGGAGCCCUGUGUACUGAUUAAAGGCAACCACCGAGCGGUGAAAGGUGCAACGCUGGUGCAAAGGGCGCAAAGAGGGACUUUUGCACAGGAGACGACAGGCGCAACAAAAGCGUAGAUCGGAACUGCGCUUCAGGCGUCAGACUCAUUGACACCAGCCGUGAGCAGCGACAUCGGGACUUGAAUGCAGUCAUGAGUCUCUUUGGACUGUGCACUGUGGAGCUGCGUGCACGGAGAGACCGGCGCGUUGAAAGCCUGAGCCACCCGAGGAGCAAGGGAAGCAGUCGCAGCAAAUGCCCGCAAAGACCUGCGUCGAUAACCGAGGGUGGUCACCUCAACUCUAGAGUGCUAUCUCGGUUGGCCAACAUGAGCCCGUUCGAUUGCGUUCUAACGUGGGUAUCGAGGGGAACGCACGCAAGAAAUGACGCGUAUCUUCGAGCGGGAGUAUCGGUAGUGACGGGUUCGUCGUGGACGUCUCCAACGUCCGAAAUGCCCAGAAUCUCCCAGAGCAAGUACGCAUGGUAGCUUGCGGAACCUGGAAACAAGGCGUGGAAUGCUGGACGCUUUUCCAGUCGCUGAUAUCCAUUGCCCAAGCGGGCGCCCCGUCUACAGAUACGGUCCGUCGAUCGAAACCGCGGGGCAUUGUGAAUGUUCGCACGCUAUCUUGACUCCAGUUCGGCAGCGUCGUAGGCGUGCGCUGAGCGCGUGACGUCGCUUCUGGAGCACCGCUCCGUCGACGGCACGCUUCACGAUGCCGCGUUUGUCAGCGGUUGCGUAGCCGAGCCCCGAGCGAACGUCUGCAAGGCCAUGUCAAGGCCGCCACGACCUAUGCGACGUCCACGGCGUUGCAUCGAGUGCAGCGGCAAGCACCGACACCGAGCCUGGUACCGCGGGUGUCCCUGGCAUGAUGGAGCAUCCGCUCUGGAUGAGAGCCGUGUCCCUACGGGUGCCGGGGCGCGAACUUGUUCACAGAUCAAGCGAGGUUCAUGACUUUGUGACUUGCAUCAAGCUCGCGUUCAUGGGAGCCCAGUGAGACCCAUCGAAUAUACAUUGUAAAAAAUACG